rnacentral:lncRNA from 1 species
UCUGUCUUUCCAUUAGUUUUUCUAUAGUAAUUCAUAAAAGGAGAAUAUUUACCAGAUAUUCUGAGUACUACUUGAAUAUAAUCACUUUCUCUGUUUUGAACAGAAGGCCUAUAAAGUGUGCUUGUACACUUCUAUGGAAGACUUAAACUGAAAGAAUCAUUUUUUUCCUUAUUUGCAUAGCCUGCUGAAGAUGGACCUCAGUGUACAUAUGUUGAAGACAAUAAAAUUAUCAUUAUCCAGGCAAUGCCUCCUAUCCAGAGUAGUCUUGGACCCCGUGAACUUUUUGGAGCACGCUGAAGAUGUGCACAUAUGCACUCUGUCUGCUAAUGUGGGAUUGUCUCUAUGGAUCUCCAUUGGAUGCGGCCCUAAGCACUCUGGUCUAGUAUUAGAUAUGGAAGUUGAUGGCCUUCACUUUCAGGUAGGGUUGAAGCUUGAUAAUCCUUGAAGUCCCUUCCAACCAAAGCCAUUCUAUGGAUCCAGACUUGAAGUAAAUAAAUAGGAAGAGCUACCUGCGUGGGUAUUGUAA